rnacentral:rRNA from 1 species
GGGAUGAUUAUUUCGUGCCUCACGAAGACGGGCAUGCAGCAGCCGCAAAAACGCUUUUUCGGGGAAACAAACACUCUCAAGUUGGGCGUCAGGAUAGAAUUCACCUAUAGACUCUUUUGCAAAGCAAAAACGUGUUUUGUGGGACCGCAAGCAAAGAUCGGGUCUAGACCGGGUUGGUCCGGGCUCACGGCGGCAGUGGUGGUCGCGGGCUGGGGCUCGAGGAGGAGGGCACGCGGAGGAGGGACCGAAGGGAGCGCGCAGCAGGCCGCUGGCCGCGGCGGCGGCGGCUGGUGGGUCCAGUGCGGCGGCGAAGGUACGGAAGAGAGAGAGAUUAGAAGAACAGAGAGGAGAGGUCCUCGAGUCGCGGUCGCGGUACCUACAGGUCAGGAGCUCGAGAGGAACCUCUAAGCUUGCGGCGGUGCCCUGGAGGUGGUCGGUCUAGGCCGCGGAUGGAGGGCCUAGGCGCGAGGGAGGUGGAGGAGAUGGGCUAGGCCGCGGCAGCUUGGGCGGUUCUGGAGGUGGUACCUCAAGGAUAUCGAGCAGGGGACGGAGGAGCAGGACACGAGCUCCCUCUGCGGGGAGGUCGCGUAGGUCCUGUUCCGGGUGGCGGUCGGCCAGCAACAACGUGAGUGGCCGCUGGAGUGGGAGGGGAGACGUGACGGGAGGUGGAGUUGACUACGAAGAGUGGUUGUCCCUAUAUAAAUCGACCAGUAUCGAACACCUACAAGAGACAAUUAAAAACGUGUGUUCCACAAACACACAAACAGGUUCGGUUACAAGUACUCGAAAUAGAAACGAUAUUUACUGUACCGACUCUUUCAGGGAAGUUACUUUCCUCCUCAUAUCAGAACCGGUACCGACCCUUCCUUCCUCUUGUA